rnacentral:rRNA from 1 species
AGCGUACACGGUGGAUGCCCUGGCAGUCAGAGGCGAUGAAGGACGUGCUAAUCUGCGAAAAGCGUCGGUAAGGUGAUAUGAACCGUUAUAACCGGCGAUGUCCGAAUGGGGAAACCCAGUGCAAUUCGUUGCACUAUCGUUAACUGAAUACAUAGGUUAACGAGGCGAACCGGGGGAACUGAAACAUCUAAGUACCCCGAGGAAAAGAAAUCAACCGAGAUUCCCCCAGUAGCGGCGAGCGAACGGGGAGCAGCCCAGAGUCUGAAUCAGCUUGUGUGUUAGUGGAACGGUCUGGAAAGUCCGACGGUACAGGGUGAUAGUCCCGUACACCAAAAUGCACAGGCUGUGAACUCGAAGAGUAGGGCGGGACACGUGGUAUCCUGUCUGAAUAUGGGGGGACCAUCCUCCAAGGCUAAAUACUCCUGACUGACCGAUAGUGAACCAGUACCGUGAGGGAAAGGCGAAAAGAACCCCGGCGAGGGGAGUGAAAAAGAACCUGAAACCGUGUACGUACAAGCAGUAGGAGCCCACUUGUUGGGUGACUGCGUACCUUUUGUAUAAUGGGUCAGCGACUUAUAUUCUGUAGCAAGGUUAACCGUAUAGGGGAGCCGCAGGGAAACCGAGUCUUAACUGGGCGUUAAGUUGCAGGGUAUAGACCCGAAACCCGGUGAUCUAGCCAUGGGCAGGUUGAAGGUUGGGUAACACUAACUGGAGGACCGAACCGACUAAUGUUGAAAAAUUAGCGGAUGACUUGUGGCUGGGGGUGAAAGGCCAAUCAAACCGGGAGAUAGCUGGUUCUCCCCGAAAGCUAUUUAGGUAGCGCCUCGUGAACUCAUCUUCGGGGGUAGAGCACUGUUUCGGCUAGGGGGUCAUCCCGACUUACCAACCCGAUGCAAACUACGAAUACCGAAGAAUGUUAUCACGGGAGACACACGGCGGGUGCUAACGUCCGUCGUGAAGAGGGAAACAACCCAGACCGCCAGCUAAGGUCCCAAAGUCAUGGUUAAGUGGGAAACGAUGUGGGAAGGCACAGACAGCCAGGAUGUUGGCUUAGAAGCAGCCAUCAUUUAAAGAAAGCGUAAUAGCUCACUGGUCGAGUCGGCCUGCGCGGAAGAUGUAACGGGGCUAAACCAUGCACCGAAGCUGCGGCAGCGACACUAUGUGUUGUUGGGUAGGGGAGCGUUCUGUAAGCCUGCGAAGGUGACCUGUGAGGGUUGCUGGAGGUAUCAGAAGUGCGAAUGCUGACAUAAGUAACGAUAAAGCGGGUGAAAAGCCCGCUCGCCGGAAGACCAAGGGUUCCUGUCCAACGUUAAUCGGGGCAGGGUGAGUCGACCCCUAAGGCGAGGCCGAAAGGCGUAGUCGAUGGGAAACAGGUUAAUAUUCCUGUACUUGGUGUUACUGCGAAGGGGGGACGGAGAAGGCUAUGUUAGCCGGGCGACGGUUGUCCCGGUUUAAGCAUGUAGGCUGGUUAUCCAGGCAAAUCCGGAUAAUCAAGGCUGAGGUGUGAUGACGAGGCACUACGGUGCUGAAGUAACAAAUGCCCUGCUUCCAGGAAAAGCCUCUAAGCAUCAGGUAACAUCAAAUCGUACCCCAAACCGACACAGGUGGUCAGGUAGAGAAUACCAAGGCGCUUGAGAGAACUCGGGUGAAGGAACUAGGCAAAAUGGUGCCGUAACUUCGGGAGAAGGCACGCUGGUGUGUAGGUGAAGUCCCUGCGGAUGGAGCUGAGACCAGUCGAAGAUACCAGCUGGCUGCAACUGUUUAUUAAAAACACAGCACUGUGCAAACACGAAAGUGGACGUAUACGGUGUGACGCCUGCCCGGUGCCGGAAGGUUAAUUGAUGGGGUUAUCCGUAAGGAGAAGCUCUUGAUCGAAGCCCCGGUAAACGGCGGCCGUAACUAUAACGGUCCUAAGGUAGCGAAAUUCCUUGUCGGGUAAGUUCCGACCUGCACGAAUGGCGUAAUGAUGGCCAGGCUGUCUCCACCCGAGACUCAGUGAAAUUGAACUCGCUGUGAAGAUGCAGUGUACCCGCGGCAAGACGGAAAGACCCCGUGAACCUUUACUAUAGCUUGACACUGAACAUUGAGCCUUGAUGUGUAGGAUAGGUGGGAGGCUUUGAAGCGUGGACGCCAGUCUGCGUGGAGCCAACCUUGAAAUACCACCCUUUAAUGUUUGAUGUUCUAACGUUGGCCCCUGACCGGGGUUGCGGACAGUGUCUGGUGGGUAGUUUGACUGGGGCGGUCUCCUCCCAAAGCGUAACGGAGGAGCACGAAGGUUAGCUAAUCCUGGUCGGACAUCAGGAGGUUAGUGCAAUGGCAUAAGCUAGCUUGACUGCGAGCGUGACGGCGCGAGCAGGUGCGAAAGCAGGUCAUAGUGAUCCGGUGGUUCUGAAUGGAAGGGCCAUCGCUCAACGGAUAAAAGGUACUCCGGGGAUAACAGGCUGAUACCGCCCAAGAGUUCAUAUCGACGGCGGGGUUUGGCACCUCGAUGUCGGCUCAUCACAUCCUGGGGCUGAAGUAGGUCCCAAGGGUAUGGCUGUUCGCCAUUUAAAGUGGUACGCGAGCUGGGUUUAGAACGUCGUGAGACAGUUCGGUCCCUAUCUGCCGUGGGCGCUGGAGAAUUGAGGGGGGCUGCUCCUAGUACGAGAGGACCGGAGUGGACGCAUCACUGGUGUUCGGGUUGUCAUGCCAAUGGCACUGCCCGGUAGCUAAAUGCGGAAGAGAUAAGUGCUGAAAGCAUCUAAGCACGAAACUUGCCCCGAGAUGAGUUCU